UACGGAGGGUGCAAGCGUUGUUCGGAAUUACUGGGCGUAAAGGGCGCGUAGGCGGGUUUGUGUGUCGUCUGUGAAAUCCCUGGGCUUAACCCGGGAACUGCAGGCGAAACUGCAAAUCUUGAGUGCCUGAGAGGGUGAUGGAAUUCCUGGUGUAGUAGUGAAAUACGUAGAUACCAGGAGGAACACCGGAGGCGAAGGCGGUCACCUGGUGGUGCACUGACGCUAAAGCGCGAAAGCGUGGGGAGCAAACAGG
rnacentral:rRNA from 1 species